rnacentral:rRNA from 1 species
AGAGUAGUUCCACUCGUGAGAGUGGUUUCCCAAAAAUUUGAAAAAUCGGCCACUUUAAGAUUACCAUCUGGGGAGAUCCGUUUAGUAUCCCAAAACUGCUUAGCAACAGUCGGACAAGUGGGUAAUGUUGGGGUGAACCAAAAAAGUUUGGGUACGGAUCGAUAUGAGGACCCAACUCCGUUGCAUUGCCAGAAUCCAUGUUCCAUAUUUGAAGCGGGUUGA